rnacentral:rRNA from 1 species
GAUGAACGCUAGCGGCAGGCCUAAUACAUGCAAGUCGGACGGUAUUUGGGAGCUUGCUCCUAAUGAGAGUGGCGCACGGGUGCGUAACACGUAUGUAACCUACCUUAAUCAGGGGGAUAGCCUCUCGAAAGAGAGAUUAACACCGCAUAAUAUAUUUUUAUGGCAUCGUAGAAAUAUCAAAUCUUUAUAGGAUUAAGAUGGGCAUGCGGAUCAUUAGCUAGUUGGUAAGGUAACGGCUUACCAAGGCUACGAUGUUUAGGGGAUCUGAGAGGAUGCCCCCCCACACUGGUACUGAGACACGGACCAGACUCCUACGAGAGGCAGCAGUAAGGAAUAUUGGUCAAUGGGCGCAAGCCUGAACCAGCCAUGCCGCGUGCAGGAAGACGGCCCUAUGGGUUGUAAACUGCUUUUGUACCGGAAUAGACCCUUUUACGUGUAAGAGGCUGAAUGUACGGUAAGAAUAAGGAUCGGCUAACUCCGUGCCAGCAGCCGCAGUAA